UGCGGGGUAGAGCAGUUGGUAGCUCGUCGGGCUCAUAACCCGGAGGUCGGAGGUUCGAGUCCUUCCCCCGCUAC
rnacentral:tRNA from 1 species